rnacentral:rRNA from 1 species
GACGAACGCUGGCGGCGUGCCUAAUACAUGCAAGUAGAACGCACAGUUUAUACCGUAGCUUGCUACACCAUAGACUGUGAGUUGCGAACGGGUGAGUAACGCGUAGGUAACCUGCCUGGUAGCGGGGGAUAACUAUUGGAAACGAUAGCUAAUACCGCAUAAUAUUAAUUAUUGCAUGAUAAUUGAUUGAAAGGUGCAAUUGCACCACUACCAGAUGGACCUGCGUUGUAUUAGCUAGUAGGUGAGGUAACGGCUCACCUAGGCGACGAUACAUAGCCGACCUGAGAGGGUGAUCGGCCACACUGGGACUGAGACACGGCCCAGACUCCUACGGGAGGCAGCAGUAGGGAAUCUUCGGCAAUGGACGAAAGUCUGACCGAGCAACGCCGCGUGAGUGAAGAAGGUUUUCGGAUCGUAAAGCUCUGUUGUAAGAGAAGAAACGGGUGUGAGAGUGGAAAGUUC